rnacentral:rRNA from 1 species
CCAGACUCCUACGGGAGGCAGCAGUGAGGAAUAUUGGUCAAUGGGCGGGAGCCUGAACCAGCCAAGUCGCGUGAGGGAAGACGGUCCUAUGGAUUGUAAACCUCUUUAGGCGGGGAGCAAUGCCGGGCACGCGUGCCCGGAGGGAGAGUACCCGCAGAAUAAGCAUCGGCUAACUCCGUGCCAGCAGCCGCGGUAAUACGGAGGAUCCGAGCGUUAUCCGGAUUUAUUGGGUUUAAAGGGAGCGUAGGUGGAUUGUUAAGUCAGUUGUGAAAGUUUGCGGCUCAACCGUAAAAUUGCAGUUGAAACUGGCAGUCUUGAGUACAGUAGAGGUGGGCGGAAUUCGUGGUGUAGCGGUGAAAUGCAUAGGUAUCACGCAGAACUCCGAUUGCGAAGGCAGCAUACCGGCGCCCAACUGACGCUGAAGCACGAAAGCGUGGGUAUCGAACAGGAUUAGAUACCCGAGUAGG